rnacentral:rRNA from 1 species
GUAGUUAGCCGUGGCUUCCUCCCCAGGUACCGUCAUUAUCGUCCCUGGAAACAGAGCUUUACAACCCGAAAGCCUUCUUCCCUCACGCGGCGUUGCUGGGUCAGGCUUGCGCCCAUUGCCCAAUAUUCCCCACUGCUGCCUCCCGUAGGAGUCUGGACCGUGUCUCAGUUCCAGUGUGGCCGAUCAGCCUCUCAGCUCGGCUACCCAUCGUUGGCUAGGUGGGCCGUUACCCCGCCUACUACCUAAUGGGACGCGAACCCCUCCUUUAGCGGAUUUCUCCUUUGACCUCUGUGUCAUGCGGCACUGUGGUCUUAUGCGGUAUUAGCACCUGUUUCCAAGUGUUAUCCCCCUNUCCAAGGCAGGUUACUCACGCGUUACUCACCCGUCCGCCACUAAGCAUUCCCAAAUUCAAACCGAAGUUAUCUUUCGGGGGUNCUCCGUUCGACUUGCAUGUGUUAGGCACGCCGCCAGCGUUCGUCCUGAGCCAGGAUACAAACUCUGA